GGAAGAUCCAAGUCAGGACAGCUCAGGAGGGAAGACUCGAAUGAAGUUGUCUGCUCUUUCUGGUGCAGCUGAAACAGUGGCUGAACCUCCAGCUCAGGAGGGUCUUGUGUCCUUC